rnacentral:lncRNA from 1 species
CCACGUACACAGCUAUAGCUCACCUCACCGCCCCGCUCUUAUCCUCUACGCGUUUUCUUUCACAGCCUCGUCUUCCACCUCCCGCAGGCCCAAUUCACUCUUUUCUCUCCUUUCAGCCCUCAUCCCUACACGAGAGGGCCCCAUAUUUUUGUUGCCGCGCGCAUCUCGUCCCAGAUUGGCGGCAAGGUCGUCGGCAUCGCGCUCCUUUCCUGCAACGUAGUCGGAUGUCCGCGCGCGACGAGCUUUUCCAUGGCGAACGAGAGCUUCGCCCAAAGAUUUCUGCGAUGACUGCGUCCGAAGGAUGCUGGAACCGCCCAGUCCCGGGCCUGCGACCGGUGCUGCAACUGGCGGCGUCAGGCGCUAGACCCGGCAAGGGGUUGUGCUGGGUCUGCCCUUUUUUUGAGCACAUGCAGCACCAAUGUUACCACCGGUGAUUUGUUUUGCUGGAAUCGGUGACUUUUUUUGGUGGGAUCCGUAAUUUUGUGUGAUUUUUGCUGCAUCCGGCAUUCGAUUUUGUUACGAUCGGCGUUGAAUUUUGUUGGAAUCAGUGAGUGUUUCUUUGCUCGGAUGUGCAAAUGUGAUGUUUUUUUCUGGUCGAGUUUUUUGCUACAACCAUAUUUUGAUUUUGCUGGAACCGGAGACAAUUUUUGCUACAUCCAUGUUUUAAUUUUGCAUAUUUUGCUGGAACCGAUGCAUAUUUGCUGGAACCUCUGCAUUUUUUUGCUAGAACCAAGAUUAAUUUUUGCUUCAUCGACUUUUUGAGUUCUCAGAUACUCAAGUCAUUUUUGCUGGAACCGGAUUUUGUUUUUGCUGGAACGAGCUUUUGUUUUUUGCUUCAACGGACAAGCGGGAGUUCUUAGGUGCGGGAUUUGUGUGUGUUUUCGCCAGAUCACAGUGUGCAGGUCAGCGGUGGAGGCGAACAGUGCUACGAUAGAACGAGAUCUUCUGACGUAGGAAGUUCUACUGCCGAGGGACGUCGUUCACGCUGCACCGUUCAUUAGGCAUCCAACGAUACUCGCAGGAAAUACAGCCUGCGCCAGCUUUCUCGCUCGGGUGGAAACAGAAGCAAGCGGCCCAUCGGCCCAGUCCGACGCUGCCCAUCGCUCUCGCCUCACUCUCGAUCGCCAUCAUGUCGUUCAAAAAAAAAACUCAAUCUCCAUCAUCGUCGGUCAGUCACUCUUGUCUCUCCCUAGGGUUCGCUACGCCGGCGGUGAAGAGCAGCCGCUGCACUAUCAGGGCGCGAGCAGCGUAGCCGUGGAGCGGCAGAGCCAGCCGUUGCCCCAUCCAUGGCAUGACGAUGCCUAUCCGUCGAGGUGGCGGAGCCAGCGGCGGCCGCGUACAGGGUGCGACGCCCCCGGUGCCGUCGAGACCGUUGAGCCGCGGACCAAGCAUCGUCGAUGCCGCCGAUUCUUCUCGAAGGGUUCCUCUGCUGCUUGCCUCGCGUUGCAUUGGUUUGCUGCUUGCUUUGCCUUGCUGUGUCUUCAGUUUCAGUUGUGCAGGAACUGUAAUUUUAGUUGUGCAGACAGCAGAGAAGCAGCAAUAACAGAGAAACAACAACAACGGAAAGCAACAACAGUAGGAGAAAUGCCAGAUUGAGCUAGUAACUGAUGUGAACUGGUUGUACACUUCAGUGAAUAGUGUGACUGAAUGUUGUAUCCAGAUUGUAAUCAUGUAAUUUGAGAGUGGAGUUGAGUGAAUUUGAGUGUGAUUAUUGUUACAAAAUAUUGAAUGUGAAUCACUGACGUUCUUUGUACCGUAACUAUUGUUCUGUUGGGAUCUAAGACUGUCAAUUUGAGAGCAUAAUACUGGUGCUGUUAAUUAAAGAGGAUAGCAUGUGUUGACAAUUUGAGAGCAUGUCCUUCCAGGAAUACAAAGUCAUAAUGCUUGCUUUGGUUGCCGAAUGUACAAUGAGCAUGCAUACAUAAAUUGGAGUAUUAUCUUUGAAAUGCAUGGCAAAAGGGUUUGAGAUACAUAAAUUGGAGUAUUAUCUCAGAACCUAGAACUGAACUGAAUGGCCAAAAGGGAUUGAGCAACUGUAACCUAGAACUGAACUGAAUGCCCAAAUCUGCCAAAACCAUGCUUGCUUGUGCUCUAAUUCAAGUACAGAGCACAUGAUUGCCCAAAAACAGUAGUGCUUCACCACGACCCAGUAAAUAGAUCAUCUGUGAUUGGUCCCUGGAAAUUAAAUAUAAGUAAGUUGUUAUUGAAAUACAAAAUCAUAUUCGGACUAAUAGUACUCGAAAAAGAUUUCUGUAAGAGAAUAAGCAAAGAGUAGCGGUAAUUGGGAUAAGAAUAAAAUCAAGUAAAAUCAGUGUACUUGAGAUAAGAAAAAUACUUGUUAGAAUUGAAAUCAUGAUGCACUGUAUCAGCCUCUUCUCUUUCUGUUGCAUCUUCCAUUAGAAGGAAUGCUUGAUCAGAGUUCAGCAGGUUGCUUUUUUCAUCAGAAAAAGGAAUGCCUGAUCCGAGUUCAGCAGGCUACUUCUUCGAUGAGAAAAAGGGGAAUUUGAUCAAGUUCUAAAUCAAUCUGAUGGUGAAAGUUUAAUCAAUUCCAGUGUUUUAUUCACGCAGGCUACUUCUUCCAUCACAAAGGACUAGGAGCAGAGCACUCGUCCCUGCUGAGCGCCAGGGAUCUCCUUCCGAUCAAUUUUGGCGCCGUUUCUGUGGCCUCUCGCGCCUUUUUCCCUCGCUUCCUUCGCCUCUCUCUCUAGCUAGCGUUGGACUGGGCCGAUGGGCCGCUUAUUUUUGUUUCCACCCGAGCGAGAAAGCUAGCGAAGGCUGUAAUUCAUGCGAGUAUCGUUGGAUGCCUGAUGAACGGUGCAGCGUCAACGACGUCCCUUGGUGCGAGUUUGAUGCUGAGCUGGAUUCGGCUAUGAGUGGAGCAGCAUCCAACAGGUGGUGGUGCUAAAACGACAGCGACAUGGGCAGGGCGUGUUACAACAUCGACGACGAGCUGCAGAUAGAGAGGUGGCGAGCUGCAAUCCACGGUCAUGGCGGCGGCCGUGGAGGACGCAGGGGCCCGGGGGACAGCGACCACGCAUGCGGGUGUGUGAGCGGUGUUUUGCGCUUACGUCACUAGUCAUUUAGGGGGGAAUUAAGAACUAAUCCCACGGCUGUCAGCUCCCAGAUCCGACGGACGCGCGGUGACCGGCCGAAUUUGGGCCGGUCGACCGGCCCCUAUCGCUGCCCAAAAAACAAAGGAGGUUUGAGUGGAUGCCUCAAAUCCUAUUAGUACAAAAAAAUAUUUAGAAAAAAUUCCGACAGGAUUAAAUCCUAAGUAUGAAUCAAACAACCAAUAUAGGGGAAAAUCCUAAGAUUUCUAAUCAUACAAAAACCCUUUGAAUCAAAGGAGCCCUAAAUUCGAUUCCAUGACACGGCACCGCACACUGGAGUAGAUCACAUGAGUAACAGCAUAAUUCAAAUAAAAGUAUGAACAAUUGAAACAGACACACAUGCAAGCAAAGCAAUUUAUGAUCUGAAGUUAAUAGUGCGAAAUAAGAUCUCAAUACAAGUGCAAGCACAUCCAGCAACAAGGUACUGACAACGAAACAGUCUAUCCAUGUCCCUAGCUUAACAACCAACAGUUAAACAAGCUUCAGCCUCUUUUACGUACAUUGCGUUGGAAAACAGUCCGUCUCCUCCCAUCAAAAGCAAGAGUGCUGCACCUACAAGGCUUUUCUCUCUUCCGAAGAUGAAUCUUCCACAGGUGGGACUGCAAGGAACAAACC